GGUAGGAUGGCCGAGUGGUCUAAGGCGGUUGAUUCAAGCCCAACUUAUCCUGGGUUCGAAUCCCAGUUCUACCA
rnacentral:tRNA from 1 species